rnacentral:pre_miRNA from 5 species
UGGAGUGUGACAAUGGUGUUUGUGUCCAAACUAUCAAACGCCAUUAUCACACUAAAUA